rnacentral:rRNA from 1 species
AGAAUCAACGCUGGCGGCGCGCUUAACACAUGCAAGUCGAGCGAGAAAGGGGAGCAAUCCCUGAGUAAAGCGGCGUACGGGUGAGUAACACGUGGAUGAUCUACCUUUUAGUGGGGAAUAACUCUGGGAAACCGGAGCUAAUACCGCAUAAUCCUGUGAGGGGAAAGCAGCAAUGCGCUGAAAGAGGAGUCCGCGGCCGAUUAGCUAGUUGGUAGGGUAAAGGCCUACCAAGGCGAUGAUCGGUAGCCGGCCUGAGAGGGCACACGGCCACACUGGCACUGAAACACGGGCCAGACUCCUACGGGAGGCAGCAGUGGGGAAUCUUGCACAAUGGAGGCAACUCUGAUGCAGCGACGCCGCGUGAGCGAUGAAGCCCCUCGGGGUGUAAAGCUCUUUCGGCUAGGGACGAUAAUGACGGUACCUGAAGAAGAAGCUGCGGCUAACUACGUGCCAGCAGCCGCGGU